rnacentral:rRNA from 1 species
UGGUCCUCCUGUUCGAUCACUUUUGAUCGAAGGGACCAUCCGACUAGUAUCCGUCAUGGCGGUUCAGCCGCAUUGGUGCUAGACCCUAUCAUUGACGGAUUCCACAUCACACUCGUCCUCAUGGAUGGUGGUAGCAGCCUUAACCUGCUUUAUCAGGAUACAAUGCGCAAAAUGGGUAUUGAUCCCUCACGGAUCAAGCCCAUCAAAACCACCUUUAAAGGUGUCAUACCAGGUGUAGAGGCCUGCUGUACGGGCUCAAUCACACUGGAAGUGGUCUUCGGAUCCCCGGAUAAUUUCCGAAGCAAAGAAUUACUCUUCGAUAUCGUCCCCUUUAGCAGUGGUUAUCACACACUGCUAGGACGAACUGCAUUUGCUCAU